rnacentral:lncRNA from 1 species
CUAGUAAAAUGGCAAAGACUUUAUUUAUUGGAGAAAGAGGCCUUGGGUACAGUCUGAGGAGGAGAGGGCAAGGGAGGAGCAGGGAAGGGGUACUCGCAGCCCACGCACAUCCAUCCACCCUCCUCUGGCCAAGUCGAGUAGGAGUGGGGUGUUCGAGGUGGCAAGAGAGACCCAGAGCUGUGGAGGAGGUGAGGUGAGGGCUUGGGUCGGCCUCCUCUCUGUCUCUGUCACAUGCAAAAAAAUUCUAAAAAGAGUACAAAAUAAUUAUAGGGCUUUGGGUUCUGUUUUCGAUGGUUGGUUGGUUGGAUUUCCCCCUGCAUUGUCCCUAAGAGCCGGACUCCAACACUCAGUCCGAGGAAAUGCGAGAGGGAGGGAGGAAUCUUUAAAAUAGCAUUAGUGGGCAUUAGGAGGCAGAAAUGGCAUCGAAAACAGACUUUUCUCUCAGAGGGUGGGAAGGAAAUAUCGAUUUUGAAACUUGCAAGUCAGGACCCGGCUGCCCACCUCUUCCCUUCCCACACAAGGAAGAAAGGCAGGAGGAAAUAGAAGUCAGCUGCAAUAAGGCCGAGGGAGGCGAGGAAGGAGCGGGCCGGUGCAUUCGCCACAUGCAGAGAAAAAUCAAAACAGCCGGAGCUGCCCCUCCUCUAGACCGCAGGGUUAGUGUUCUCAGCCCUGGUUUCUGCCUCGCCCUCAGCAAACCUGGCAGCCCCAGAGUUUUGAAAACAUCGAAAUCUCCGAGUUAAAAAAAAUAAUAAAAGAAAGGAAAAAUCAGCUGCGGUGGGAAGAACCCGCUAUAUAGGUUUAAAUAUUUAUAUAGAAGCCAUACAGAAUUGCACGGCGAGGGUUUCCGGGGCGGCGGAGGCCGCUGGCGGCAGCCGGCCCGGCCGGCCAGCCUGGGUUUAUUGCUUCGAGAGGGAAGAGGCGGCUGCCAGGAGCCGAGUCCGGGGCCGGGAACAGGAGAGGAGGCGGGAGUUGGCAGAGGAGGUCCCAGCUCCCCUCGGCGUCCGGUCUGGGAGGUGUUGGGCUUUCGAGAGCUAGAAGCCCAGGGUGGCAGAAGACCCGGGGUGCCGCUCAAUCGUCCACGUCGAUCUCUUCGUCUUCCUCGUCCUCCGAGCAGUCCUGGCUGCUGGCCGGCUGGUCCGUGAGCGGAGAGGCAGGCGAGAGCUGCAGGGGCCAGCGCCCGGGGCCUGCGGGGCGCCUGGGGAGAGGACCGGAGAGCCGGGCCUCGACUUGGCCCUGCCGCAGCCGCCGCCACCGCCGGCUGUGGCCUCCGAGUUCUGCUCGAGUUCGGCCAGCGCCACGAUGUCCAUCUGCCCGCUGGGGCCCAGUUUCUUGGCGGACUCUACGUCGGCCUUCAUCUCCUCCAGGUCCCGCUUGAGCUUAGCGCGCCGAUUCUGGAACCAGGUGAUGACUUGCGCGUUGGUGAGGCCCAGCUGCUGCGCGAUUUGGUCGCGAUCGGCGGGGGACAGGUACUUCUGGUAUAGAAAGCGCUUUUCCAAUUCAUAGAUCUGGUGGUUGGUGAAGGCCGUGCGAGACUUUCGCCGCUUCUUA